rnacentral:rRNA from 1 species
UACAGAGGUGGCAAGCGUUGUUCGGAAUUACUGGGCGUAAAGCGUGCGCAGGCGGUUUUGUAAGCCAGAUGUGAAAUCCCCGGGCUUAACCUGGGAAUGGCAUUUGGGACUGCAAGGCUUGAGUGCGGCAGAGGAGACUGGAAUUCCUGGUGUAGCAGUGAAAUGCGUAGAUAUCAGGAGGAAUACCGAUGGCGAAGGCAGGUCUCUGGGCUGACACUGACGCUCAUGCACGAAAGCGUGGGGAGCAAACAGG